rnacentral:rRNA from 1 species
GACGAACGCUGGCGGCGUGCUUAACACAUGCAAGUCGAACGGAAAGGCCCUGCUUUUGUGGGGUGCUCGAGUGGCGAACGGGUGAGUAACACGUGAGUAACCUGCCCUUGACUUUGGGAUAACUUCAGGAAACUGGGGCUAAUACCGGAUAGGAGCUCCUGCUGCAUGGUGGGGGUUGGAAAGUUUCGGCGGUUGGGGAUGGACUCGCGGCUUAUCAGCUUGUUGGUGGGGUAGUGGCUUACCAAGGCUUUGACGGGUAGCCGGCCUGAGAGGAUGACCGGCCACAGUGGGACUGAGAUACGGCCCAGACUCCUACGGGAGGCAGCAGUGGGGAAUAUUGCACAAUGGGCGGAAGCGUGAUGCAGCAACGCCGCGUGCGGGAUGACGGCCUUCGGGUUGUAAACCGCUUUCGCCUGUGACGGAGCGUGAGUGACGGUAAUGGGUAAAGAAGCACCGGCUAACUACGUG